rnacentral:rRNA from 1 species
AUUGAGCGCUGGCGGCAUGCCUUACACAUGCAAGUCGAACGGCAGCACGGGUGCUUGCCCCUGGUGGCGAGUGGCGAACGGGUGAGUAAUACAUCGGAACAUGUCCUGUAGUGGGGGAUAGCCCGGCGAAAGCCGGAUUAAUACCGCAUACGAUCUACGGAUGAAAGCGGGGGACCUUCGGGCCUCGCGCUAUAGGGUUGGCCGAUGGCUGAUUAGCUAGUUGGUGGGGUAAAGGCCUACCAAGGCGACGAUCAGUAGCUGGUCUGAGAGGACGACCAGCCACACUGGGACUGAGACACGGCCCAGACUCCUACGGGAGGCAGCAGUGGGGAAUUUUGGACAAUGGGCGAAAGCCUGAUCCAGCAAUGCCGCGUGUGUGAAGAAGGCCUUCGGGUUGUAAAGCACUUUUGUCCGGAAAGAAAUCCUUGGCCCUAAUACGGUCGGGGGAUGACGGUACCGGAAGAAUAAGCACCGGCUAACUACGUG